UACAGAGGGGGCAAGCGUUGUUCGGAAUUACUGGGCGUAAAGGGCGCGUAGGCGGCCUGUUAAGUCGAACGUGAAAUCCCCGGGCUCAACCCGGGAACUGCGUCCGAUACUGGCAGGCUUGAAUUCGGGAGAGGGAUGCGGAAUUCCAGGUGUAGCGGUGAAAUGCGUAGAUAUCUGGAGGAACACCGGUGGCGAAGGCGGCAUCCUGGACCGACAUUGACGCUGAGGCGCGAAAGCUAGGGGAGCAAACGGG
rnacentral:rRNA from 1 species